AGGAAGCUAGUCCAACAUAAGACCUCUGAUUUCGACUCAGAAGAUUAUGGUUUAAGUCCAUAGCUUCCUU
rnacentral:tRNA from 1 species